GGGGCCAGUGCUGAUCUCCUCCAUGUCCUUGGCUUUGUUGUAACUCUGAACGUCCCAGUGAAGAUUGACGGCCCGCCAGCGCAUGAAGACGUUGUACACUGCUGCCCCCUCAUGGACAAUCAGACCUGGAACUCACCGACGCAGACCAGGUCCAUGAAGCCGUACAUGGCGUAGCAGAUCUGGAAGAGCACGUCGCGGCGCUGCCAAAUGGCCUGAGGGCUCAGCGCCGACCAGAAGAGCCAGGAGAUGCUGGCCACCAGGAAGAGAGAGCCCAGCAGCACGGCGAUGAUCUGCACCUUCUCCACCAGGGUGAUGGUGAUGGACUGCCACUGAGGAGAACGGGAACACUUCAGCUCCAACAGAGACGAUGGAGCAAAUACAAUUGAAACAAUGAAAAGAGACUUUUAUGACUACAUUUAGAAGUUUAAAAAAAA